rnacentral:SRP_RNA from 1 species
GGCCUUGGGACAAUGUGAUCUCGGUGAAGCGUGUCAGAUCCGGAAGGAAGCAGCACUAAGCAGAGUAUGACAUGUGUUCCAAGUUAAUU